rnacentral:rRNA from 13 species
UGGAGGGCAAGUCUGGUGCCAGCAGCACAUAUACCACCUCCA